GUGGGGAAUAUUGGGCAAUGGGCGCAAGCCUGACCCAGCAACGCCGCGUGAGGGAAGAAGGUCUUCGGAUUGUAAACCUCUGUCCUAUGUGACGAAGGAAGUGACGGUAGCAUAGGAGGAAGCCCCGGCUAACUACGUGCCAGCAGCCGCGGUAAUACGUAGGGGGCGAGCGUUGUCCGGAAUUACUGGGCGUAAAGGGUGCGUAGGUGGCACUUUAAGUUGGAUGUGAAAUCCCCGUGCUUAACAUGGGAGCUGCAUCCAAUACUGGAGAGCUAGAGUGCAGGAGAGGUAAGCGGAAUUCCUAGUGUAGCGGUGAAAUGCGUAGAUAUUAGGAGGAACACCAGUGGCGAAGGCGGCUUACUGGACUGUAACUGACACUGAGGCACGAAAGCGUGGGGAGCAAACAGGAUUAGAUACCCUAGUAGUCC
rnacentral:rRNA from 1 species